UCCCCGGUAGCUCAGCGGUAGAGCAACCGGCUGUUAACCGGUUGGUCGCUGGUUCGAAUCCGGCCCGGGGAG
rfam:Brucella melitensis biovar Abortus 2308 chromosome II, complete sequence, strain 2308